UUUUUUACUCAUUAGGAAAUACGUGUUCUUUCUCUAGCGAGUAGAGAAUGUGGUUUAAUUAAAGCACGGCGGCCAGAACCUUAACAGCGUUUUACAUGUCCGGACUAUAUCUGAAGACAGAUUUCAUUCCCUUCGGGGACUGGAACACAGGUUCUGCAUGGCUGUCGUCAGCUCGUGUCGUGAGAUGUUGGGUUAAAGUCCCGCUUACGAGCGCAACCCUCGCCUUUAGUUACCAUCAUUUAGUUGGGUACUCUAAAGGAACCGCCGGUGAUAAGCCGGAGGAAGGUGGGGAUGACGUCAAGUCCUCAUGGCCCUUACGCGCUGGGCUACACACGUGCUACAAUGGCAGGUACAGUGGGCAGCAAUCCCGCGAGGGUGAGCUAAUCUCCAAAACCUGUCUCAGUUCGGAUUGUUCUCUGCAACUCGAGAGCA
rnacentral:rRNA from 1 species